GGACUACAGGGGUAUCUAAUCCUGUUUGCUCCCCUAGCUUUCGUUCCUCAGCGUCAGUAGUGGUCCAGCGCGCCGCUUUCGCCACGGGUGUUCCUGCAGAUAUCUACGCAUUUCACCGCUACACCUGCAAUUCCACGCGCCUCUCCCACACUCCAGCACAGCAGUUUCGGAAGCAGCCUCUGAGUUGAGCCCAGAGAUUUCACUCCCGACUUGCCACACCGCCUACGAACCCUUUACACCCAGUAAUUCCGAACAACGCUGGCCCCCUACGUCUUACCGCGGCUGCUGCAC
rnacentral:rRNA from 1 species